AGCGAACGCUGGCGGCAGGCUUAACACAUGCAAGUCGAGCGCCCCGCAAGGGGAGCGGCAGACGGGAGAGUAACACGUGGGAACAUACCUUUUGGUUCGGAACAACUGAGGGAAACUUCAGCUAAUACCGGAUAAGCCCUUACGGGGAAAGAUUUAUCGCCGAAAGAUUGGCCCGCGUCUGAUUAGCUAGUUGGUGAGGUAACGGCUCACCAAGGCGACGAUCAGUAGCUGGUCUGAGAGGAUGAUCAGCCUCACUGGGACUGAGACACGGCCCAGACUCCUACGGGAGGCAGCAGUGGGGAAUAUUGGACAAUGGGGGCAACCCUGAUCCAGCCAUGCCGCGUGAGUGAUGAAGGCCCUAGGGUUGUAAAGCUCUUUUGCCCGGGAAGAUAAUGACGGUACCGGGAGAAUAAGCCCCGGCUAACUUCGUG
rnacentral:rRNA from 1 species